UCCAAACUACUUUUCCGGUAUGAUGAAGGACAGCUUUUGUCAUUGUCGUAAUUCCGUAUUCACCAUCCGCACUAAAAAAAAAUUCGGAUUUCAAGCCCGAUGUUAGUUAUGAGAAUUGAAUCAAAAUCCUCUUCAUAACAUCUUCAAAGAAAUUACUCACAUUCAUCUUGAUUUAUAAUGUGUAACGAAUGGCAUUUGAGACGUAAUUGAAGUUUUAGAAAAAAUGAGUUCAGAGCUCCAAUUUUAACAGAAGACCUGGAUAAAGAGCAAUCAAAAGAAGUGGUGCAAUAUUGUCGACUACGAAAAUGUUAAGUGCAAGUUUAAGACAUUUUAAAUACUCUUCUAUUUUUAUUUACUUCUCUAAAUUUUUAAAAUUUCCUGAUUAAAUGUUUCUAUCAUCACCAAUACUAUCGAAGAUUAUAUUUUAUUUUCCUUUUUAAUUUCAUUUUUCGCCCUUUAGUUUAGGAGCUUCUUUCUUUAAAUUUUUUCGUUUAACCCUUUUCAAGUUAAACUUUUAUUUUGAAUUUUCUAAUUUUUUUUUUAUUUUAUGUGUAGGUUAUAUGGCAGUCCGGACAUCAUUUGCACAAACAUCUGAAGGAGGAACAUAGUUUAAUCUGGUACUGGUGAUGGAUUCAUCGCAGAUCGUUGUAUAGUAACAAA